AUCACUUCCUCCUGAGUUGGCCCUGCCUUGGGACACUCACUCUUGAACCCCAGCCACCAUGUUGGGAGGAAGCCCAAAGGGGUCGACAGUGGGAGCCCAUGAGGAGAGGCGCAGGUGGAGAGGAGCUGAUGCCCCAGCCUAGAGCCAGCAUCCACCCCAGACACGUGAUGCUUCAGAGAUCCAGGCUCCUUCCAGCUUAGACAAACAGCCUCCUAGGUCACCGAGGAAAGAACAGAAGAAGACUAUAGAUGACGUGCAGGGCGUCUCGUGGCUGAACCCCUAUGCAGUGGGUUGUUUCUAUCCACCUCCCAUUGGCCAGGACCUAGUCUCAUGCCUUCAGCCUAACAAGGGAUCCCAGGAAAUAAAAGAUUGAAAUGGAA
rnacentral:lncRNA from 1 species